AUGCUGGCAUUGGACUAUUAUGUAUUUUCUUUACUGUUUCUAGUCAUUCUGACAGGUGUCAGCUGUCAAGAACUCACUCCAGUCAACAAUGAAGAGAACAGUUUAGAAGGCAGCACUGUUACUCUGUCCUACAAAUACUCAAAACCUGCAACUGGUUCUGAUCGAUUCUUCUGGUAUCGACAAUAUCCAGGAAAACCACCAGAAUUCCUCAUCUCUCACACAGGAACGAGGGAUCCAAUAUCAGAUCCAGUACCUAGACUGUCUUUUAAUGUGAGUGCAGAUAAAACCCAAAUGGAUCUGCAGAUCUCCUCUGCUGCAGUGACAGACUCUGCUGUGUACUACUGU